rnacentral:lncRNA from 1 species
AUGAGAUGGAUGAUGGCUGGAGAGAUGGCUCAUUGGUUAACAUCACUUCUUAUUCUUCCAGAGGUCCUGGGUUCAGUUCCCAGCAUCCACAUAGUGAGUGGCAUACAGUCAUCCAUAACUCCAGUUUCAAAGACCUCUCUUCUGACCUCUGUGUGCACGAGGCACACAUGUGAUGCAUGGACAUACAUGAACUGUGCCUCCUGGAAAGCAAAUCAUGAGGGCAAUUUCCUUAUCUUGCUAUAUUCCAACUGAUGAAAGAGAGUGACGAGAUUUGAGUAUCGCCAUUUUGCAGAACAACAAAAGCUGUAAUGCCAGCAGCACAUACUCCAGAUGAAAAGCCUGUCCCCAUCUAUAAAGUGGGCUUGUAGAAGAAAGAUCCUCAAUAUGACCCAGUCUCUAGAUCCAACUCUACAGAAGAUUACAAUGUCCAGAGAAUUCCAUUUACGGAUGGUUCAGAGGUGGUGGUGGUGGUGGGGGGUAUGGUAGAACACCAGGGAGAUGCUAUCAGCAAAUCUAGAGUGUGAGCAAUUGCAGAACUGAUCUGGCUUCUUCAUAGUUGAGAGGGCAAGAGAAGGGAAGGAGGGAGAGAGGAGAGAAUGGAGGGAUGCAAGGGAUGAAAAGAGGAAGAGAUGAUGGAAAGCAUAUAAAAAUGCAGAAAUAUUUAAGUCUACCAAAUUAAAGUGUAUCCACCUAUUUGGAUCCUAACACAAAUACUUUGCUUAAAAACAAAACAAAACAACAAAAAGGAAAUAUGUGUGGAGUGUUGUGAUACACCACCUUUAAUUCCAGCAUGUUGGAAAUUGAGAUAUGAUAGUCACCAGUUCCAGAUCAGCCAGGGCUACAAAGUGAGACCCUGUCUCUAAGAAAAGCAAAACAAAACCUGAAAUGAGGGCAAGUACCAAGACCUGAGGCUGUAGUCCUAGGUAUUUGGGAAGCUGAGAAGGGGGACUCCCUUAAGCCCACGAGUUUGAGGUCAGUGUUUUACAGAAUAAAUAAAGAUUAAAUUUACA